rnacentral:piRNA from 1 species
CACACGAGUCGAUGGGGGUUA